ACUAUGCUGGAUCAAGGAGCAUUACUGAGUACACCUUUGGAGACUGACACACCAUCUUCUUGAGGGCCCAGGAGAUCUGUUUUCUGCCUGCUGCAUCUUCCACAACAUUUGUGUGGCCAUGGACUUUACCCUGAAGGCUGAGAAAGUCCUGGGACCAGCUGAUAGCAAGGAUGACACAUGGAAUGUAGAAAUCGAUUUGCGGAAAACAACCCACGUCCUCUCUUACCAAAGAUGGAUGCACUCCAGUUACAGAGGGGCUUAAUGGGUAUGAACCAAACCAAAGAGGAUGGCACCAAGAGCAGAGACUUGGACAGGCUGAAGAACUGUUGAGUUACGUAGCCAUGGAGACUUCACCUGACCCCUCGCUCUUUCAGGUGAUAAGCUGAUUACUGGGAUGACAGCCUCCUGUCGCAGACCGGCACGCAGCAGGAGAUCUGAUGAAGCUGAGCCAAACUCCUGUCGGAAAUACUGAUUGACUCUGCUGUAAACAACUUUGAAAUUUCAGAUUAAGAUUAUCCCGCUUUUUCAGACUGUCCAAAUGCUGUUUUUAUGAAGAUAUAUACUUAUUACAUGUACACAUUAUGACACAUGAAACUUUCAUACACCUUAGUACGUCAUUGUCUACUCCAGAACCAACUCAUUGAUGAUGGAUCAUUUAAAUUGGUCUACCAAUCCAAACUGUGGUUGUUUGAAGUCCUGAACAACUGGGCCAGCACAGCUUGGAUGUUUGUGAUCACCACUUUCUGCUUUCUAUAAAUCGACUACCACAUCAUUUCCCUAGAAUAUUCUCAAAAUAAACUGCAAAAGCAGCAAGAUAUUUACUCACUGAC